GGUCUGUGAAAGAGGAGGGGGUGAGGUCUCACGCUCGUCAGCACACUUCCUGAGACUCGGUUUGUUGCGGCCACCUGGGGGGUGUCGGCGGGGUCCUUAGCUCCGAACAGCUUCUGGUGUCCUGCCCGUUAGCGCUGCUGGGAGCGCACCACGCCAGACCGCACUUUCUUUUGUUGUUUUUUGUAUCACUGUUAUGUAUUAAAUUCAGUUAGCCUUUG